CCUACGGGGGGCUGCAGUGGGGAAUAUUGGACAAUGGGGGCAACCCUGAUCCAGCCAUGCCGCGUGUGUGAAGAAGGCCCUCGGGUUGUAAAGCACUUUCAGUGAGGAAGAACGCCUGGUGGUUAAUACCCAUCAGGAAAGACAUCACUCACAGAAGAAGCACCGGCUAACUCCGUGCCAGCAGCCGCGGUAAUACGGAGGGUGCGAGCGUUAAUCGGAAUUACUGGGCGUAAAGCGCGCGUAGGUGGCUUGAUGAGCCGGUUGUGAAAGCCCCGGGCUCAACCUGGGAACGGCAUCCGGAACUGUCAAGCUAGAGUGCAGGAGAGGAAGGUAGAAUUCCCGGUGUAGCGGUGAAAUGCGUAGAGAUCGGGAGGAAUACCAGUGGCGAAGGCGGCCUUCUGGACUGACACUGACACUGAGGUGCGAAAGCGUGGGUAGCAAACAGGAUUAGAUACCCGGGUAGUC
rnacentral:rRNA from 1 species